rnacentral:rRNA from 1 species
ACGCUCGACACCUACUGGAGGCAGCAGUGAGGAAUAUUGGUCAAUGGACGCAAGUCUGAACCAGCCAUGCCGCGUGCAGGAUGACGGCUCUAUGAGUUGUAAACUGCUUUUGUACGAGGGUAAACGCAGAUACGUGUAUCUGUCUGAAAGUAUCGUACGAAUAAGGAUCGGCUAACUCCGUGCCAGCAGCCGCGGUAAUCUGAGCGGGCUGGACAAGGC